rnacentral:rRNA from 1 species
GUCGAACGAAGCAAUAGGAAGGAAGUUUUCGGAUGGAAUUCAUAUUGACUGAGCGGUGGACGGGUGAGUAACGCGUGGGUAACCUGCCUCAUACAGGGGGAUAAUAGUUAGAAAUGACUGCUAAUACCGCAUAAGCGCACAGAAUCGCAUGAUUCGGUGUGAAAAACUCCGGUGGUAUGAGAUGGACCCGCGUCUGAUUAGCUAGUUGGUGGGGUAAAGGCCUACCAAGGCGACGAUCAGUAGCCGACCUGAGAGGGUGAUCGGCCACAUUGGGACUGAGACACGGCCCAAACUCCUACGGGAGGCAGCAGUGGGGAAUAUUGCACAAUGGGGGAAACCCUGAUGCAGCAACGCCGCGUGAGUGAAGAAGUAUUUCGAUAUGUAAAGCUCUAUCAGCAGGGAAGAAGAUGACGGUACCUGAGUAAGAAGCCCCGGCUAACUACGUGCCAGCAGCCGCGGUAAUACGUAGGGGGCAAGCGUUAUCCGGAUUUACUGGGUGUAAAGGGAGCGUAGACGGCAUAGCAAGUCUGAAGUGAAAGCCCAAGGCUCAACCAUGGGACUGCUUUGGAAACUGUUAAGCUAGAGUGCUGGAGAGGUAAGCGGAAUUCCUAGUGUAGCGGUGAAAUGCGUAGAUAUUAGGAAGAACACCAGUGGCGAAGGCGGCUUACUGGACAGUAACUGACGUUGAGGCUCGAAAGCGUGGGGAGCAAACAGGAU